rnacentral:tRNA from 2 species
GGGGGCGUAGCUCAGCUUUGGUUAGAGCGCCGGCCUGUCAAGCCGGAGGUCACGAGUUCAAGUCUCGCCGUCCCCGCCA